rnacentral:rRNA from 1 species
GUGCAGCAGGCGAGAAACCUCCGCAAUACACGAAAGUGUGACGGGGCCAUCCCGAGUGCCGUCCGCUGAGGACGGCUUUUCCCCAGUGUACACAGCUGGGGGAAUAAGGAGAGGGCAAGCCUGGUGUCAGCCGCCGCGGUAAUACCAGCUCUCCGAGUGGUGGGGACGCUUAUUGGGCCUAAAGCAUCCGUAGCCGGCUGGGCAAGUCCUCCGUUAAAUCCAACGAUUCAAUCGUUGGGCUGCGGGGGAUACUGUCCAGCUUGGGGGCGGGAGAGGCCGACGGUAUUCCCCGGGGUAGGGGUGAAAUCCUAUAAUCCCGGGAGGACCACCAGUGGCGAAGGCUGUCGGCUAGAACGCGCCCGACGGUGAGUGAUGAAAGCUGGGGGAGCGAACCGGAUUAGAUA